GACUACUGGCAGGAUCAACCAGAUAGCAUAAAUCGGCGAAGUCGGCACGGCCCCGUCCGAGCCGAAGCUCGAUACGGGAGACCGAUUCGACCGUCGUCCGCAAGAAUGCUUUUUUGUGGUGCUGCGAGGCCGAGGGCCCCGUACCCACAUGAUUUUCCGCACCCGAGAUACCGAGCGUUCCGUCGUGGUUCAUCGACCCGAAAGCCGUUUCACGGGCAAACGGGGCGCGAGACACAACGGGCGCUGUUUGGCCCACCCCGCGCCGCCCGCCCGCUAGGAGCAGCAGCACGGGGCGAGAAAGGGACGAUGUAGCCGACAGAAUGCCCUCGCGAUAGGUAUUCAGCACAGGAAAACCAACGUCGGACGAGCGCACGCUCGUGCCAACAAUUGAAGAGACGCGGACGGAAUAUUGUCGCUGCCAGAGCAGGGAUCCAACAUGCCGUUGCGCGCCAACCACCACUC
rnacentral:misc_RNA from 1 species